rnacentral:rRNA from 1 species
GAUGAACGCUGGCGGCGUGCCUAAUACAUGCAAGUCGAGCGAACAGAUAAGGAGCUUGCUCCUUUGACGUUAGCGGCGGACGGGUGAGUAACACGUGGGUAACCUACCUAUAAGACUGGGAUAACUUCGGGAAACCGGAGCUAAUACCGGAUAACAUUUGGAACCGCAUGGUUCUAAAGUGAAAGAUGGUUUUGCUAUCACUUAUAGAUGGACCCGCGCCGUAUUAGCUAGUUGGUAAGGUAACGGCUUACCAAGGCAACGAUACGUAGCCGACCUGAGAGGGUGAUCGGCCACACUGGAACUGAGACACGGUCCAGACUCCUACGGGAGGCAGCAGUAGGGAAUCUUCCGCAAUGGGCGAAAGCCUGACGGGGCAACGCCGCGUGAGUGAUGAAGGGUUUCGGCUCGUAAAACUCUGUUAUUAGGGAAGAACAAACGUGUAAGUAACUGUGCACGUCUUGACGGUACCUAAUCAGAAAGCCACGGCUAACUACGUG